rnacentral:rRNA from 1 species
AAUGAACGCUGGCGGCAGGCUUAACACAUGCAAGUCGAGCGAGCGGCGGACGGGUGAGUAACGUCUGGGAAACUGCCUGAUGGAGGGGGAUAACCACUGGAACCGGAAGCUAAUACCGCAUACCAUCAGAUGUGCCCAGAUGGGAUUAGCUAGUAGGUGGGGUAAUGGCUCACCUAGGCGACGAUCGCUAGCUGGUCUGAGAGGAUGACCGGCCACACUGGAAAUGAGACACGGUCCAGACUCCAACGUGAGGCAGCAGUGGGGAAUAUUACACAAGUGGCGAAAGCCAGAUGCAGCCAUGCCGCGUGUGUGAAGAAGGCCUUCGGGUUGUAACGCACUGUCAGCGAGGAGGCGUUACUCGCAGAUGAAGCACCGGCUAACUACGUGCCAGCAGCCGCGGUAAUUC